rnacentral:lncRNA from 10 species
UGUGAUUUCUCACUAUUCUCUACAUGGCUUGUGCCCCUAUAAGGGAGAAACAGAAGAGUGUCAGAGCAAUAUGCUAUGGAAAAGUUUGGCUGCCAUCACUGGCUUUGAAGAUAGAAGGGGCCAUGAACCAGGGAAUGUGGACCUCUUUUGGAAGAUGAAAAAGACAAAAAAAAAAAAAAAAAAAAAAAAAAAGAAAGAAAGAAAGAAAGAAAAAGGAUUCUGUCCCAGAGCCUCCAAAAGGUAUAUAGUCCUGCUAGCAUUUUGAUUCUAGUCCAGUGAGACACAGAUUUCUGACUUCCACAACCAUAAGAUAAUAAAUUUAUAUUGUUUUAAGCUACUGAAUUUGUGGUAAUUUGUUACCAUAA